UCUUUAACAUCUUUUGGACAAGCCACAGUGUUUUUCCAAGGACGUGGACUUGGCACUUAUCCAACUCUGUAUUCACAUAUACUAGCACACAAACCUGCUGAGCCUUUUAUUUACCCUGUAAACCUGACAGAUGUGAUCCCAGUGAGGUUCCACCAUAUUAUACAGCUGAGUGGAACCCAUAUGUUAUUGAAAAAAGAAAACAAAGAAAAGAAAAUUAAUUCAGUUGUCAAUGUAAAUAAUUGGGGUUAUGUUGCUACCCUUCCUAGUCUGCCCGGAAGUUAAUCAUUUUCUUAAUUAUUCAUAAAAAGAGAGAAUUGGCCUUAUAUCCACCGAUAUAUUUUUUGCAUUGUGUUUGCCCCUAUGGCUCUUUACAUUCCAUUCAGAUGGAGUGAUGAAGGCAUAUAUUGUUGUCUUAACUCUACAACCUGAAGAGUGUGCCAGAUUUAGAGACAAAUAAUGGACAGACCUAAAAUCCAAGCAAAAGUAGAGAAGUAUUUAAAUCUCUAACAAUAUGUUUGCUUCCCUUUGUCAGAAAACACAACUGGAAGGGAAGAAAAUUCUGAGGAUUGCAUUUUUUUCAAUUACAUACCCACUGACUGAAAAAAUGAAAAAAGUUUAGCUUGAUUUGUCACCAAGUCUGCCUUUGUUCUGAGAAUCUAUACCAAAAUGAGAUAAUAUUUGUGACCUUGAUUUAUAAAUUGUAUAGGCUAUUUUUAUUUUUAUUAAGCACUAUUUUUAUUAUGACCUCUUCUUCCUCUUUGAUGGAUAAAUGGUUCUGCAACAAGAAUAGAUUCACUAGUAAAGAACUUAUAGGUAAUUUAUUUUGUAAAGUUUAUUUGAAUAUGAGGUAUUUUUAUCCAUAGCAAAUCAGUCUACCAUCUUCCACAAGUUUUAUAAAAAUAGAGUUGGAGUUAUAACACAGAAUGCUAUAAAAAGGAGAUAGGUUACAAAUAGGAAUGCAAAUAAAGUGCUAAAGUUUUGUAGUGGGGAGAUGUCUACCU
rnacentral:lncRNA from 1 species